rnacentral:rRNA from 1 species
CACGUAGGCGGAUUGUUAAGUUAGGGGUGAAAUCCCAGGGCUCAACCCUGGAACUGCCUUUAAUACUGGCAAUCUCGAGUCCGAGAGAGGUGAGUGGAAUUCCGAGUGUAGAGGUGAAAUUCGUAGAUAUUCGGAGGAACACCAGUGGCGAAGGCGGCACACUGGCCCGUAACUGACGCUGAGGCGCGAAAGCGUGGGGAGCAAACA